rnacentral:rRNA from 1 species
UCUGGUGGCCAUAGCGAAGGGGAAACACCCGUUCCCAUUCCGAACACGGAAGUUAAGCCCUUCAGCGCCGAUGGUACUGCCUUGGCAGCAAGGUGGGAGAGUAGGUCGCUGCCAGAU